UACGUAGGGGGCUAGCGUUGCUCGGAAUUACUGGGCGUAAAGCGCACGUAGGCGGCUUUCUAAGUCGGGGGGUGAAAUCCUGGAGCUCAACUCCAGAACUGCCUUCGAUACUGGAGAGCUCGAGUCCGGGAGAGGUGAGUGGAACUGCGAGUGUAGAGGUGAAAUUCGUAGAUAUUCGCAAGAACACCAGUGGCGAAGGCGGCUCACUGGACCCGGUACUGAC
rnacentral:rRNA from 1 species